GACAACAUUGACGGACGACGUGUUCGACUUCACCGUGCACCUGUACAGUGCUCUCCAAGGCACAAGGAGGCACCGCAGGGGGAAGGCUCGGAGCAAACCAUGCCUCUGUUGCUACGGAUCGUGCGGAUCCAACUUGGCAUCCGGCAGC
rnacentral:lncRNA from 1 species